rnacentral:tRNA from 1 species
GCGGAGGUAGCCAAGUCUGGUCAAAGGCGCAGGACUUAAGAUUACACUCUUAAGUGUUGAUGCAUUAGAAUGCUAUGAUAAGAAAUCCUGUCUCUUAGUGGGUUCGUCGGUUCAAAUCCGGCCCUCCGCA